GUCCAUUGUUCACCUAAUAAUCAAUCUAAUGGUUAGAAUGUAGGGAUCACCACUUAGUUACUUCAACUUCACAUGGAUCACCUUCAACUUCACAAACCUACCCCCUCCCUCUCCCUCUCGAUCUCCUUGCCGGCAACCACAUCGGCCGACUGCCGGCUGGCAUGUCGGUCCCAUUCACCGGUAAACACCCCUUUCUCUCUUGUGUACUGCAACACUCGCACACCCCCGCUCCCCUAGUGACUUCCUACAACUCCGACAACGGAAACAGCCGGCCACCACCAUCUGGUGGUGGCGUACGACGGCGAAAACACAUAUUAGAGAGAGGAGAGAGACGAAGGAGAGAGAGAGAGAGACGAAGGAGAGAGAGAGAGACGAGACAUAGAUGGCGAGAGACAGCAGCGCCGCCGUCUGCGGCUGGGCGGCAUAGGUGGAGCGGCAGCGGUGGAACCGUUCCUUCGACGUUUUUCCCGACAAACACGGCUGUUGGUCAAAGAAGACAGUAGUGGUAGUGGCUUGGUUCAGACUCAGUGCUGGCAACAAUCCAAACCUACCUGGCAAUUGCUACUGUAUUCGAAAGGUUCACAUACGCUGAGAUAGUGAAGGCAUCACAUAAAUUUAGAGAAAAGAUGAUGACAAAACAAGCUUCCGAUGAAUAUGGAAUUUUAUUUUCUUUAUAUUUGUAGAUUGUAUACAUUUUUUGUUUGAAGAUUUGUAUAAAUUUAUGAUUAAUGUUAUUGAAUUUGUAUAGUUUUUAGUUUUA